GACGAACCGUGCGAACGUUAUUCGGAAUCACUGGGCUUAAAGGGCGCGUAGGCGGGCUCGUUAGUCAGGGGUGAAAUCCCACGGCCCAACCGUGGAAGUGCCUCUGAUACUGCGAGCCUCGAGGGGGAUAGGGGCGUGCGGAACUCAGGGUGGAGCGGUGAAAUGCGUAGAUAUCCUGAGGAACACCGGUGGCGAAAGCGGCGCG
rnacentral:rRNA from 1 species